rnacentral:snoRNA from 11 species
ACCCCAUGAUAUUAAGCCGGCAGACGCAUGUAUUUUAACCAGCUGCGUCUGUGACUAUGACUGGGAACAGUAACGCUGCUGAUGUGUGUAUGUUGGAGUUGCGCCUUGCUUGUGUAUCCGACAAAGUUAUUUUCAGACCACA